CCCAAAGUGCUGGGAUUACAGGGGCCUGGCCAGGAUAUCUUAGAUAAAAGAAAAUGUAACUCUAAAGGAAGUGAUUGAUAUAUUUGACUAUACUAGAAUAUAUUCACCAAAAAAAACACCAUUUACAAGAAUAAAAAGCCUGUAGAGUUGGAAAAUAUAUUUAUUCAUAUAACCUUCAAAAGACAGGUGUCCAGGUAUAUAUACCAAAGAAAAGGAACACCCAAUAGAAAAAUGGGCAAAAACCUUAAAGAAGCACUUCAUAAAAGAGAAAAUGAUCUAAUAAACAUAUGGAGAGGUGCUUUAUCUCAUUUUGUAAAACUCGACAUAGGUUCGGAAUUGGCCAUGGGGAAGUGUUAACUGUGCUGCUGUCUAAUGUGGAAUGUAGUGGCAGAUGAACCUGGGAAGAGGAGAAACAAGAAAAGGGCUUAAAGGGGGAGAGAUGGUAGAAGAAAAAAAAUAUAGUGGAUACAGUGGAACCACCAGGUGGCACCAUGCUACAAUAUGACUCUUGGAAGUCUCCUUUUAAAGAGAGAGCAAGGUAAUUUCUUAGUCGUCAUUCCAGAUGUUUCUGCAGCCAAUAGUGAAAUAUUUGGGGAGAACCUUCCUUCAUAGAAGUAACAAAAUUGAAGCAUUUCCAAACCAGGAAAUGUCAUAGAAUUUUAGAUUCUAGUUGGAUAAUCUUUGGACAAUAGUGAAUGAAUAGUAUGGUAUUAGCAAUACUCUAAUACGUAUAGUGUUUGUAAAUGUGGGCAUAGGAUUUGCAAUACUCAGUAAGCAUUGGUUUUUUUUCAGGGAUCACAAGAGAAACCUACCAGAAGAUACAAAUGGUCUGACUCUGAAUGGGAAUGAAAAACAUACCUGCAUAAAAUAUGCACUAAAAGAAAAGCAAAAGUCUAACAAUAUAUAUUGAACAACUGUAUAUUCCAAAGACUCCCUGGCAAGUUCUCAUCUGUUCUGAGCAGUUGGUAUUUUCAGCGUUCUUCAUUCAGUUUGGCCAUUUUGUCUAUCCACAAGAUCUCUGAAGAGAUCAGGUGUCCAAGCUUUGGCCCAGCAAACACGUUCUAGAAACUUCUUGCCAGGGAAGCAGCCAUUCUCAGCUCAGGAGUAGCAGAUCUUUUUAUGCUAUUGGCCUAGAUGGUCUGUGGACUUAAUUCCAUUGUGCACCGAUUGGAUGUGGCUGUGUUUACAGAGGGACAGUCCAGUCACUUAUUAGGUACACUUACGCUGUACCUAUCCAAGCAACGAAAAUCAGGUGAGCAAAACUUACAUACACUUGUGAAAAAUUAUAAUAGGACACAAUGGACAUUAUGGACAUUGGAAAGAGAUUGAACUUAAACCAUUUGGAAUCUGGGUGGUUUUGCCAAAAGACAGAAGCAGAGUAGUUUUUACCUCCUUUGCAGUAUUUCUGAAAAGUAAAACACUUUUUUGUAGAAACCCGGAAACAGCAGCUGAAAUGUUUUCUACACUCCCUGAGGCGGCAGCGCCCAGCAGAUGAAGGCCUGCGGGAGAGCACACCAGCAGCGGAGGGUCUGGGGGGAAAGCGUGUUGUCUAAGGCAAAGGACUUCUGCCAUCUUACACAUUUAUUUGAAAGACACAGACAUAAAAAUGAUUAAUAUGUUUAUGUAACUUAAAGCAAUGGUAAGAAAUAGGUAACUAGGUGAGGCUCGUGAAGAUUUUGGAAGAAGUGUGUUACUUGCUUGCUGCUCCUUUAAGGGAGAAAAACAAAACAAAAAAAACAUACCCCUAAGCCUAAGAAUUCUUUCGGGGCCCCCAAGGCAGGUUCUCAGCUGCGUUUAACUGUCCAAAGCUACUGAACCCAUGAGUUCUAGUGAGCAGUAAAAGCUCUAAUGCACUCCAUAGCUUGGAUUUACAAAAUAUAAAAUGUGGAGGUUAGAAUGAAGCACCGUCUUCACUUUUCUACUAAUAAUAUUACCUUCUAAUGUGAUGAAAAUCAGUUUUCUUCAAAACCAAGAUCACCAUUCUUUGAGCAUAUCCUUGUAAGGUCCCAGAUCAAACACUUGAUCUUAUUCAGGGAGUAACUUAUCUUUAGUAAAGACGAAGUUUUUUUUUUUCUUCUAGGCAUCAAAGGCAAACCAGAUAGAACAUUAUUAAGAUGAUGGGCAUUAAAAAGAUGAGGUAGGGGUCAAAAUGAGCCUAGAGAUUGCAUAUAUCUACAAGAAAGUUUUUUUUUUUUUUUUCCUUCCUGCAUAGAUGGAGCAGCUCAUUGAAAAACACUUUUAUUUUUUCAAAGAUUCAGGGUCUUGCUCUGUCACCCAGGCUGAAGUGCAGAGGCACCAUCAUAGCUCAAGCUCUCUGUAACCUUGAACUCCUCGGCUCAAGGGAUCCUGGGACAAAGUAUCAAAGGCAAACCCUCAUAGGCUGAGAAACAUCAUAAAAACCAAAAGUUAAAGGUGCCAAAACAUAAAAAGUCAGAUGAAGAUGAGUCAUUUAAUGGUUUCAUUCUUACUGGACCAUUCUGGAUGGAGACAAUAAAUAGAAGAAUGUUUUGUGGCAAUUCUCAUAAAACGAAACCUAACACCUAUUCUCAGUAUUCAACCAGCAAAACACCUCACUUACCUGGUGCACGUGAUCUGAUGCAACAAAGCGUCCCUAACAGGUUCUAUCUGGUGAGUAUGCAGACAUACAGAUCUUCGUCUUAAAACAGGUUUUAGCUGUGGCACCAGGACAUUUUGGAUCAAAUCUUUUUUGUGGGGGCUGUCCUGUACAUCACAGGAUAUUUAGCAGCCUCCCUACUUUCCACUCCCCAGGAUCCUGUGCCACCCCUUCCUCAAGCUGUGAUAACCAAAACUGCCUCCUGACAUUGCUCUAAUGUCUCCACGGAGAGCAAAAUCACUCCCUGUGGGAACCAGUGUUGUAAACCAUUUUAGAGGCAAACCAUAAACUAACUCCCCAAACUGUGAUGGGGGACAUAGUCUAUAACUUCCUAAUAUAGUAGCUGAUCACUACAUGAUGCUACUAAGCACUUCAAAUGUGGCUAAGUAUGAGGAGAAUUCUUAAUUCCAUUUCAUUUUAAUUAAGUCCUACAUGUACUAUAAGGACAAGAUACUUCAUGGAAAACUGUGUAGAUAUCUUGAUACCUUUGUUAAAAAUCAUGUGGUUGAUAGGCAAUAAAAACGUACAGAAAGGGUUUCACCAUGUUGUCCUGACUGUUCUCAAACUAUCCACUCACCUCCACCUCCAGAAGAGCUGGGAUUACAGGUGUGAGUCACUGCACCAGGCAUAAAAGUUUUAUUAGUCCUAUUUCUAUCCAUUUAAUUUUCAUUCUAAGUAUUUGUUAAAUUAAAAAGUGAACUGUGAAGUUAAAGACUACAAUGAUAGAAAUUUAAAUUCUCUUUUAAAUCAAAGUUUUAAGUUGUUUUUUGCAUGACAGGAGUCAUGACUGAAAAUAUUGCAUUCUGGUAAAUAAUUUCCUCCUUGAAAGAAAACAAAAAUGAAACAAAUUUAAAGGAAAGGCCAACCAGGAUUGAAAGAAAACAUUUAUUGAAUCAAAAUCAAUACUUUCUUUUUAAUAUCUACAAGCCAACACAGAACUCAUUUUAUUCAAGAAUGAACACAAUGUACAAAAAAAGUAUGCUUAUAUUAUAAAAAUAUGUCAAUUUUAUCUUCUGGGUGCUUAGCAGAAGUCAUUUUAAACAAAAUCAAGGCAUACUUGUUCUCUAUAAUGAGUCUGCUAUAACUUAACAACAAAGUGAAAGCUAAUGUACUCCAAAGUAUUUGUAAAGGCCCACUGAUAAUGCUGCACUGGAAAUGCUAAACCCAAUGUGAACUAAAGUCAACAUUUCCGUUCUAUGCUUAUUGGCACCACUUCAUGCCUCCAUCAUGGGAAAGUACCUCUUUUUACAGAAAGCAGAACACUGCUAACAGAAUCCAUGUGAUUCAAUCUUCAGUUUCCCUUGCUUAACAUUUGUUAGCAUGUAUUUCAGCAAAGAUUAACAGUAUAAUGAAUGUUGAGUAGUAAAAUCCUAUUUAAUUAGCUUCAAUUUAAAAAUGAGAUAUAUGCUGCUAUGGGGAACAAAUGACCUGUUGAGCUUGACAACCCCAUUUAUAAAUGUGGGAAAGCUGCCUCCCUUAAAAAAAAAAAAAAAAAAAUUAUGUCCAAGGUUAAUACCGUAUCUUUUUUUGUAAUUUUCUUGAUGUUAUUGGCACCUCCCAGGCACUUUGGCAUGUGCUCCUGUAUAAAGUGUAGUUACUAUGCCUGUAGAGUUAGUGGCAGCUGCAGAGUAGUUAUAGGCUGACAAGUCCACUUUUGGUUUACCAUGGUGAUCCGAUCCAACACACGCUGGUCGUUGGAGCAGCAAACAAACAAAACAA